GGCUGGAUAGUCUAGUGAUUAAGACGCCCCCCCCCCGGAGUUUGGAAGGCCUAGGUUUAAAUCCUAGUCUGGCCA